GCUCAUGUGGUAUAGUGGUUAGCAUUUCAGUUUGUGGAUCUCUGUCUAUCAACUCACUGACGACGGCGGUUCGAUUCCGCCCAUGGGCA